rnacentral:rRNA from 1 species
UACGUAGGGGGCAAGCGUUGUCCGGAAUCAUUGGGCGUAAAGCGCGUGUAGGCGGCUCGGUAAGUCUGCUGUGAAAGUCCAGGGCUCAACCCUGGGAUGCCGGUGGAUACUGUCGAGCUCGAGUCCGGAAGAGGCGAGUGGAAUUCCUGGUGUAGCGGUGAAAAUGCGCAGAUAUCAGGAGGAACACCAAUGGCGAAGGCAGCUCGCUGGGACGUGACUGACGCUGAGACGCGAAAGCGUGGGGAGCAAACAGG